AUUGAACGCUGGCGGCAGGCUUAACACAUGCAAGUCGAGCGGAUGAAGGUAGCUUGCUACUGGAUUCAGCGGCGGACGGGUGAGUAAUGCUUAGGAAUCUGCCUAUUAGUGGGGGACAACGUUCCGAAAGGAGCGCUAAUACCGCAUACGUCCUACGGGAGAAAGCAGGGGACCUUUGGGCCUUGCGCUAAUAGAUGAGCCUAAGUCGGAUUAGCUAGUUGGUAGGGUAAAGGCCUACCAAGGCGACGAUCUGUAGCGGGUCUGAGAGGAUGAUCCGCCACACUGGGACUGAGACACGGCCCAGACUCCUACGGGAGGCAGCAGUGGGGAAUAUUGGACAAUGGGGGGAACCCUGAUCCAGCCAUGCCGCGUGUGUGAAGAAGGCCUUUUGGUUGUAAAGCACUUUAAGCGAGGAGGAGGCUACCUAGAUUAAUACUUUAGGAUAGUGGACGUUACUCGCAGAAUAAGCACCGGCUAACUCUGUGCCAG
rnacentral:rRNA from 1 species